rnacentral:rRNA from 1 species
GAUGAACGCUGGCGGCGUGCUUAAUACAUGCAAGUCGAACGGAUGAAGGAAGAAAGCUUGCUUUCUUCCCGAUUCAGUGGCGAACGGGUGAGUAAUACGUAGGCAACCUGCCCCAAAGCGGGGGAUAGCAGUUGGAAACGACUAUUAAUACCGCAUAGGUAAUAGGGAGGCAUCUCCUUAUUAUUAAAGGUGCGUUUGCACCGCUGUGGGAUGGGCUUACGCUGUAUUAGCUAGUUGGUGAGGUAACGGCCCACCAAGGCGAUGAUACAUAGCCGGUCUGAGAGGAUGAACGGCCACAUUGGGACUGAGACACGGCCCAGACUCC